CCUACGGGAGGCAGCAGUGAGGAAUAUUGGUCAAUGGGCGCGAGCCUGAACCAGCCAAGUAGCGUGAAGGAUGACUGCCCUACGGGUUGUAAACUUCUUUUAUAAAGGAAUAAAGUGAGGCUCGUGUGCCUUUUUGUAUGUACCUUAUGAAUAAGGAUCGGCUAACUCCGUGCCAGCAGCCGCGGUAAUACGGAGGAUCCGAGCGUUAUCCGGAUUUAUUGGGUUUAAAGGGUGCGUAGGCGGCCUUUUAAGUCAGCGGUGAAAGGCCGGGGCUCAACCAUAGAAUUGCCGUUGAACCUGGCGGUCUUGAGUAUGUGUGAGGCAGGCGGAAUGCGUGGUGUAGCGGUGAAAUGCUUAGAUAUCGCGCAGAACCCCGAUUGCGAAGGCAGCAUGCCAAGCCAUGUCUGACGCUGAGGCACGAAAGCGUGGGGAUCGAACAGGAUUAGAUACCCUUGUAGUC
rnacentral:rRNA from 1 species